ACCAGCUGCAUCAGGUGGUAACUUCACCACUAUAAAAACGUCCCUCGCCUCGAACUCUUCUGGAAGUUUCCCUCACUGACCUCAGGCGUUCACUCAUGUCGUUCCUCCGGCUCCUCUUCUCGCUCUUGGCCGCCUCCUCCACCAUGCUAGCACCACCAGCACCACCAGCUCCAGCAGCUCCCACGGUCACCGGGCUCUGACGGGCCGCCGCAGACCUCCCGUUCACCGGCUGCACACUCGAGCCUCUCCCGACCGUCGCCCUUUUCCGGCGGGACAGCAGCGGGGGCCCGACCGCGUCCGAGUCCCCCAUGAUGUUUCACACAGACGGGAAAUGGAGAGGAGUUCACUUCAGCAGUUGACUCCGGGUAGGGGCAUAUCUGUUGAUGUGGUGGCACGGUGGCCUGGAGGACAGGGAAGUGAAGGAACGAUGCCAGACAAACAGCCCGCCCUGUGAGCAGCACGUUGACGUGGAGGAGGAGGGCGUGUCUCCGUGGAGCCACAUGAGGUGAACCGAGGGGAGGCUGUUACACUGAGGAGACAAGUCGAUGUCCCACGGUGUCCACAGCCUUUUCAUCAGCCUGGUGUAUGAGCCAGUAGAGGGUGUCCAAGGCCUAACUCCUGCUUCUGCCUUUUGAUCCUGCCAGAAGCUGGGCCUUGGAAUCAGAUGGUCGUCUUGUCUUCGCUGCCACAGAAGAACAGCACUGUUGGAACUGGGUGUGGGAGACAGUCCAACAUUUCACUAAAUACAGACGGCAGUUUGAAAGGGCUGUGCUCCUCAGUUUGCCUUUGAGGUCAGUGGCGGAGGAGUACUGCAUGCCGAGAGGUGCGAUGUGGCUCUGUCGGUUUGACCCACACCUGCUGCGUAUCCUUCACAUCCAGCACCAGAGGACACCGGAUAGAACUAAGAAGCCAUUUUAGCUGCCUACAAGGAAGAUGCCUCAAGGUCUCGGAUCAUCUGAUUGGCUCAUCUCACCGUCCCUCAUAGAGACCACCGAUCAAACUUAACUUUAAGGGAAACACAGGUGGCAGAUUCAUCUGAGAAACCUGGGUUUUUCUUCGGCUCUCAAAGCUAAUCGCAUCAUCAUCACAGUUAUUCAACAGGCCUGAGCUAAACUCCAGCAACAAGAGUCCCAGUCAACAGUGUCUGUGUGAUUCUGCGUGUGGGGGUGGAUGUGUGUGUACAGUGUGUGUGUGUGUGUGAACAACAUGUGUGUGUGUGUGUGUGCGUGCAAGUGGUUGGCGCUAUUAAACAUUCACCGGCUCACUCAGCUGCUGCUGCUGCUGCCGCUGUUAGGCUUCCAAUCUGGGUCAAGUCUCCCUCCUCUCCUCCCUGAGCUACCUCUAUCCCUCUAUCCUCUCCUCCUCCUCCUCCUCCUCCCCUUGCUCUCCCUCUCUCUCUCUCUCUUUCUCUUUCUCUCUCUCUCGCUUGCACCCUCGCUUUCUGUUUCUUUCCUUCAGUGCAACUCCCUAUGUGCUCUCCCUGUGUCUUCCCCCUCUCUCUUUCUUUAGCUUUUCCCUUUUUCUCUCUCUCUCGCUCCCUUCCUCUCUUUUUCUGUCUGUCUCUCACUCUCUCUCUCUCUGAGGGAAUGUUUGCUCAGCUACGGAGCUCUGAGGCAGGCCUUCGCUCUUAUCCAGUGUCCAAGUCAAAUAAAGAUGCCCAUAAAUCUUUGAGAGACAUGAUGAAUAAUUUCUGUUAUUUUCUCCAAAUGUGUGUGUGUAUGUCUUUGUGUGUGUGUGUCACUUUAAAUUGCCACUACCUGUUUAACAAGUGUCAGUUUUAUGUUUCUAUUCUAUACAAACUAAUGGUAUUACAAUGUCUGUGUAAGUUGAUGGAAUUGUGAUGAUGAUGUGGAUUUUUUAAUAAGAAGAAUAAUCAGGAAUACAUGGAUACACCACCAACGGUACCAUAGGACAGUAACUAUUUGUAGCUCUGAAUUACAUUAUGUACUGUGUCAUUGCGGUAUUUCUCUGUGAUCCUGUGCACCACUUUUUUUCUUUUUUUUCUCUUUGGGUGGGGGGAAUUAUUUACUUUAUUUAUUAAAUUUGUUUUAUUUCA